rnacentral:lncRNA from 1 species
CUUAAAUUCUGCAUCACCUAAAAAAAUGCAUUUCCUGGGCCCUGUGCCCAGGCCUACAGACCAAGUUAGGAAAAUAAGCCCUGUGACAGCGAGGCUCAUUUCCCAGCUCCCCUUAUGUUCUCAAGGGCUGCCCAGAACAGGAGGAGGGCAAGAGGGUUCCGGUCCCUCCCGGGAGCUAGAUGCAGUGGCUCAAAGGACAAAGAGGGCUAUGAGCAAGGACUUCCACAAACCCAGGCCCGCCUCCCACACCUGCACCCCUGCUGCCUUCCCCUCACGGUGCCGCAUCUUGGCUUCCCGAAGUGGAAACGUUCCUUUUGUCCAGGAUCAUGUCCUCACCUGGUUGUGGAUGGUUCACUCUAAGAGGUGGGGAAUCAAAGAUGAGUGAAAUGGUAUGUCUGCAAGACCGUUCGUGGCCUCUGAGGGAGUACACCGUGCCCGUCACUCGGUGGGGAUGCAGGUGUAACAGGGAUGAGGAAGCCGCCUCAGUGCUGGUGAAGACCUGUUGUUAGAAGGCCAAGAUACAGAAUCGUGUUUCAAAAGAAGUCCUGGGGAGGACGACAGGCUCAACGCCAACGCUGAGGAGGAAGUGAAAGAAUCCGCCCUGGUGGUGAUUCUUUGGUCAGAUUAUCUGCCCGUGAGGUCCUCUUUGCUGACCACCCUGAAGUUCAAAACAGAACCCGAAGCCCAGAGAGAACAGCAGGUGUCUUUUCGUGUGCUCCAGCUAUGUCUGCUUUGAUGCUGAACUGCGACUCAUGAGCAAAAGGACUGACCUAGAGCCUUCCCAGACGACAUGUUCUACUCUGCAGGUUCUGGGGAAGGACGUCAAGGCAGGCCGGGUCCGAUGGGCGUCUGGGCUGCAGAUGGUGGUCACUGAACCUGAUGCUAAGUGCUGCCACGUGUCUGGGACCACGCUGGACAUGACGAGAGAGACCGAAGGACUGUGGAGAAAGGUGCUGAGCUUCAGGGCCUUGGGAGAAGCCCCUGCGCUAGAAAACAGUAAAAGACCACGGAACGUGUGUGGUACCGUUCGGACAACUGCAUGCAGAUGUCCUUCGCUCUGGGUGAAUGAUUUGGGGAUGACAGUGCACACUGUGUGUACCACUGUUGCCCCCUGAUUGAUGUGUUUUGAAAUUUUGUUGUAAAAAUGGAUUUGAAAAAAUAAAUAGUAAAAAGUGUGGAAAAAAAAAAG